rnacentral:rRNA from 1 species
CCUACGGGAGGCAGCAGUGGGGAAUAUUGGGCAAUGGGCGCAAGCCUGACCCAGCAACGCCGCGUGUGGGAAGACGGUUCUCUGGAUUGUAAACCACUGUCCCCAGGGACGAAGAUGACGGUACCUGGGGAGGAAGCUCCGGCUAACUACGUGCCAGCCACGGCGUGAAUACGUAGGGAGCGAGCGUUGUCCGGAAUUACUGGGUGGAAAGGGAGCGUAAGCGGGGAUGCAAGUUGGGGGUCAAAACUACCGGCUCAACUGGGAGUCGCACUCAAAACUGCAGGUCUUGAGUGAAGUAGAGGCAGGCGGAAUUCCUAGUGUAGCGGUGAAAUGCGUAGAUAUUAGGAGGAACACCAGUGGCGAAGGCGGCCUGCUGGGCUUUUACUGACGUUGAGGCUCGAAAGUGUGGGGAGCAAACAGGAUUAGAUACCCGUGUAGUC